UCGAGAAUCUUGGGCAAUGCGCGAAAGCGUGACCCAGCAAUGCCGCGUGCAUGAUGAAGGCCUUCGGGUUGUAAAAUGCUGUCACCCGGGACGAAAAAAAUGACGGUACCGGGGGAGGAAGCCACGGCUAACUACGUGCCAGCAGCCGCGGUAAUACGAAGGGGGCUAGCGUUGUUCGGAAUUACUGGGCGUAAAGCGCGCGCAGGCGGCUAUCCAAGUCAGUGGUGAAAGCCCGGAGCUCAACUCCGGAACUGCCAUUGAAACUGUUUAGCUUGAGGACGAGAGAGGUGAGUGGAAUUCCCAGUGUAGAGGUGAAAUUCGUAGAUAUGCGGAGGAACACCGAUGGCGAAGGCAGCCUCCUGGGCCAGUACUGACGCUCAUGCACGAAAGCGUGGGGAGCAAACA
rnacentral:rRNA from 1 species